rnacentral:lncRNA from 1 species
GGCGGGGCUUCAGCUUGUGUACAUCAUACUUAAAUUUAAUUGGACGUUAUGUUUGAGGUUAAGGACACUAAAUUUUAAAACAUCACAUGACACAUAUUAUCAUAUGUUUCCUUACCUGUAAAUAUACAAUACAGACAAGAUUCUACUUCGUCGAAAUGAUCUCCCCAUUACGCCGGUCCAUUUUCACAAUCUUAGAAAUGGAAGACAUUUUUUUUUUCAAAGAUCCAACUUAGACUGUCGUCAAGCACUUUAAGUAAAAUAGCUAUUCGAACACACAUACUCUGAUUUUGUGAUCCAUUGGAUAGGUAUUUCAGUUGACCCCUAUAUUUCAUCUUUUAGUACUGUGAUUUUUCAUGUUAAAAAGUCAACCUGUAGCUUUGCUAUAUAAAAUGAUAGAAUCCGAAGCGAGAUGAUGUAUCAAAUACUCUUGCAUUGUACGUUUUCCAGACAAAAUAUUCAUCUCAAACACACCCUAACAUAAAAAAGGUGCACUCGAUUUUCUCUUUUCGAUACAAUUGUUUCCCAUUUUUUGGAAUAUUUUCUUGAGUUACAUAAUAGAAGG